rnacentral:lncRNA from 1 species
UUGACCUGUUUAAAUUCCAGGACUUUGUGGAGCCUAAUCAUGCUAUAGUCUUCCUAAUAUACUAACUGUUGAAUCAAUAUAAGUUUUUGCGUGUGUUUUGUUUUUUUUUCCCUAAUUAUACAACAUUUGGAAUUAGGCCUUAAUCUAUAACAAGACAUACACAAAACUUAAUUACCUGGUGUCCCCGGUAGAUUUCUUCUCUUCUUGGAAGUAGGGUUUCCAUUUAAAUUAGGGUUAGGGUUUGGUUCUGCAGGUUGUUGAGGGAAUACUUUGGAAGGAAGAGAAAAUACAUCAUCAGACAUCAUUUGAAUAAGAAACUAAAGCUUCAGGGAGAUCGUGUUUUGGUUUAAACUCGAAAAAAGACUGCUAAAAUACAAAAGAAACAAAGGGUUUCUCCAAAUACAAACAGAUAAAUCUUUGGUAUUAUUCAAAUCUUAGAACUAUCAGAUUGUGCCAAAAGAACCAGAAAACACCCAAAAACACAAACUUUGAAUCUCAGAACACCCAUAAAACAAUAACCUUAAACUUUGGUUUCUUCUUAAAGAGAUCUGGUUGAGGACUUUGGCUUGAUUUUCAAAGAAAAAACCAAAAAGCCAUGAAGGCUAAAGAGAAUAUUAUCUCUAUAUUUGUAGCCACCAACCCUUUACACUUCUCUCUCUUAUGCAAGCUCCCUAUCUCUUUAUCUCUUCAUUUCAAAGUCGGUCAGCCAUAGAUUUUAGCUGCUGGGCCACUCUCUCUCUCUCCCCUCUCUCUCUCUCUCUCUCUCUAAUAUUCUAAUUGUACGUAUAUGUUGGCUGUAUGCUGCUUGUAAUUAGCAGAAUGUG